rnacentral:rRNA from 1 species
GAUAAUCCACGAUUAACUUUACUUCUUUUACAAGUUUAUAUAUCGUCCCCGGCUGAAUAUCUUAUCAGGGAUUUAAUAUUCAUGAUUUUUAAUUAUAAAGAAAAUCAGAUCAAGGUGUAGCUUAUAUUUAAGUAGAGAUGGGUUACAAUAAAUUUAUUUAUAUGGUUAUAAUAUUUAAAAUUAUUAUAUAAAGUGGAUUUGAAAGUAAUAUAUUUAAUUUAAAAUAUAUGAUUUUAGCUCUAAAACAUGUACAUACCCCCCGCCCCCUUCAUUGAAAUUAAAGUGAAAUAAGUCGUAACAAAGUAGGCUUACUGGAAAGGGUGCCUAGAUAGACAAAUUAGAGCUUGUUAAAAAGUUUUUUAUUUACAUUAAAAGGUUAAUUGUGUAAAUCAAUUUAAUUUGAAUUGAAAUAUUUAUUAUUAUUUAAUUUUUAUAGGUUAAUUUUAAUUAAAUUAUUAUUUUUUUUUUAUAGUUAUAGAUAAAAUUUUUAUUAUUAUAGUUGAUUAAGUAUAGUGAUAGAAUAUUAAAAUAGUUUGAAAUAUUUAAAAUAUUUAAAAGAAAAUUUUAAUUAUUGUACCUUGUGUAUCAGGGUUUAUUAAAUAAAAAUUAUAAAUUUAAUUUUCUCGAAUUUAAAAGAGCUAAAAAAUUACAUAUUUUAUUGUGAAAAAACUAUUUAUAAUAAUUUCUUAGUAAUGAAAUGUUAGUCGUUCUUAAAUUUAUCUAGUUUUUUAAGAAAUAAAUUUAAUUUAGUUAAUUAUUAAAAUUGAAAUUCAAAUAAUUUUUAUAUUUAAACUUCAAUAAUCAAUUAAUAUUUUAAGGGAUAAGCCUUAAAAUAUAAGUUAAUAAAUAUUUAUAGUAAUUAUAAAAUUUAUAGAAGUGAAAGUAUUAAUUUAUUUUAGUGUUUUAUAACCAGUUUUAUUUUAUUUUAUGAUUUAUAUAUAAUUUUUAAUUUUUUAUUAAAAUGAUUAAUUUAAUUGUAUAAUUACUGUAUUAAUGAUAAAAUUAGUAUAAAUUCAUGUUUUUUAAAAUUAAUUUAAUAUAGGUUAGACUAAGGAAUUCGGCCAAUUUAUUUUUCCCCCGUUUAUUAAAAACCUGUCUUUUUGAUUAUAAUUUAAAGUCUGACCCCCCCCAUGAUUAAAAUUAAAUGGCCCCGAUAUUUUGAUCCUCCCAAGGUAGCAUAAUCCUUAGUUUCUUAAUUAGGAACCGGAAUGAAAGGUUGCCCCAGAAAAUAACCGUCCCCAUUUAAUUUAAUUAGAAUUUUAUUUUUAAGUUAAAAAGCUUAAAUAAUUUUAAAAGACGAGAAGCCCCCCUAGAGUUUAAUCUUAAAAUU